rnacentral:rRNA from 1 species
ACGAACGCUGGCGGCGUGCUUAGCACAUGCAAGUCGAACGGAAAGGCCCUGCUUUUGUGGGGUGCUCGAGUGGCGAACGGGUGAGUAACACGUGAGUAACCUGCCCUUGACUUUGGGAUAACUUCAGGAAACUGGGGCUAAUACCGGAUAGGAGCUCCUGCUGCAUGGUGGGGGUUGGAAAGUUUCGGCGGUUGGGGAUGGACUCGCGGCUUAUCAGCUUGUUGGUGGGGUAGUGGCUUACCAAGGCUUUGACGGGUAGCCG